AGAGAAUUUCCAAUUGGGAAUGGGAAGGCUUUGCAGUUUAUUUACAGCAGCAAACAGUUCAAAACAAAGGGAGGUUUAGCAGCUGGAACAGCCACUACCAAUGUGUACAGAAAUGCACAAUUCAAGAAGAUAAUGAAGGCAAUGUGUACUCCAUGUUGUAGUCCUGAUGAAGUAAUAUUUGGUCCUGACUCAAUUCAAGAAGACAAUGAAAGCAAUGUGUACUCCAUGUUGUAGUCCUGAUGAAGUAAUAUUUGGUCCUGACUUCCACCAAUCCUUGUACUGCCACCUUUUGUGUGGGCUCAUUUUC
rnacentral:lncRNA from 1 species